rnacentral:lncRNA from 1 species
UUUAUAGAAGUCAAAUUACAAAAUUGUUAUUUACAAUAGUUACAAUUACAUCACACAUAAAAUUAAAUUUGUAAUUAAAAUUUUGCAAACUUCAAAAGAGAAAAAUAGAAAUUAUUGUGGAAGACAUAGAGUCUUUAGUAAAUGUAAUUUCCUUUAAUUAAUCUUACUACAAAUUAUCUUAAGAUAUUUUACAUUUUGUUAAACCCAACCCCCCUUAUUUAAACAAAUUUAAUAAAAAUAAGUUCAUCCGGAAUAUCUUAUUGGGUCUCAGUCCAUUCCAGAUUCCAGUGAACAGUUUGAAACGACAACUCCGUAGGUCCAGAUGCAUCAGUUGGGGGUUCGGACAAGUCACAUUACACUACUCUCCUUACAUUUUUAAUAGAUAAGGUCAAAAGGUCAGCUCAUCAUCAUUUUUUUUGUAGAAUGUCUUGUUUCCCAAAGCACUAAGACAUUUAGAAGUGGAUGAAUAGAUAUUUUAAAAAUUGGUAAAAUUAAUAAUUUUAUUAUUAUAAUUGGUAGUUUUUAUUUAUUAUAUUAUUGAAUUUUUAAUUUUUUAAAUUAUAUUAUUAAAUUAAUUAAAAAAAUAAUUAGGUCAUUCUGUUAAAUUGAUUAAACGUCAGUUAAACUAUUUCAUGUUUUUUCCUAUGUGGCUGGAAAAAGAAAAGAAAAUGACAUGUUCAUGUUCAUGCUCUAUUUAUCGAUUAUCUUUAUACAUGUUCAGAUGGGAUUUUGAUUUCAAUUUUGAUGAAAUGAUUUGGCCGUUUUUUAGGUAUGUUCUUCCAUUUGUCUAGAUUUGAUAUGUAAUUAUCGUUGUUUGUUGGAUCUGGUAAUGGAUUUUCGGCGCAUAUCUGUUUUCAUCUGUUUGGGCGUCUAUCCGGCUGGUCGCUGCUGCAGUUCGCCGGUGAUUGUUGUUAUUCCAGUAUGGGGCAGAGUGAGGUUGACCUUGGGCUGUGAAAUUAGGGCCCACGCUUUCAAAUUUCAAAUUAGCAGAUGGACUUCAUUUACUAUCUUUCAGGUCCAAAUUUGCUGCAUCACAGGGGUCGAAUUAUGGAGGUGUUAUUAAUAUACUAAUCCACAUAAGAACAGCGAGCUACCAUGGCUGCCGACGGCAAAAUUAUCCCAUAUCCAAAAUAGCAUUAAAAGCUACCACACCCAGAAACAAGGAGGAGAUAGCAGAACAUAGCAAUUAAUCACCUGAAUCCAGCCAAUCAACCCAAACAAUCAGAGAUCAGAUCAAGAAAUGAUUUUCGAUAAUAAACACCGAUUAUUACACCAGAAAGAUAAAAUCUAUUUGAACGAAAAACAAACAGAUCAAAUAAGAACACCCAAACUUAUUAUUGAAGGGGAAAUGCAAUAAAACCGCAAGAAAUCAGCACAUGACUCCCAAAUCUAGUCAUGACAAAGAUAAACAAAUCAAAACAUAAAACCCAGUUUGCACAAGCGCACAGAUCGACAUGAUAAGACCUCAGAUCCAAAGCACCAGAGCAAGAACAGAGCCCAUCAAUUGAACCCAGAAUCCGACGACCAGAACAAGAUCUAACCAACAACGCCAAAGAUCUGAAAAAACCCAAACAAAGAUUUCAAAUUAAGUCACGCUUGAGGAUGACAAAAAAUACCCAAACAGAAAUCAAGCAUAACGAUGGGUAGAAAGGGAGAAUGGGUGGGUCGAAUAUGGAGGAAAUGUUAAUUGGUUUUUAUGGUGUGAUAAAAAGAAGGAAGAGAAAGUAUGAAUAUACUAAUCC